CCUGCAGUGCUGAAGUCCUACUAAGUAACCAUAUGAUCACUCUUUUAUCAACAAGUCAACAGUUUUGCAUCUUUGUUUGGUCAAUUCUACGAUUAAGCAUACAAAAAGAUACAUUCUUGACGAUCAAUUCGCACCGAUGCUGGUGCACCAGGUAUCAUUCCCUUCGACAGUUAGCCAAGCAAUUCACCUCCAGUCCCUGCCAUCCAAGGGUCGAUGAGUAGCAGUACAAAUGCACAAUCUUAAAGAAGCAAAAGAAGAAAAAAACGCAAAAAAUUGCAAACCAGACUCGCGAGACCGAAGAGAAGUUGGCUGAGCACAAGAUGGAGAUGAUGGGGAAGAAAGGUGGAGAGGGAGGAGUGAAGAGACAAGGCAGAGAAGGGAGAUGGAGAGCCAUUGUUGCAGUGGAGAGAGGAAAG
rnacentral:lncRNA from 1 species